rnacentral:rRNA from 1 species
CCGGCGACCGGCGCACGGGUGAGUAACACGUAUGGAACCUGCCCGCAGCAGGGGGAUAAGCGGAAGAAAUUCCGUCUAAUACCGCGUAACAACGUUGGGAGGCAUCUCCCGAUGUUUAAAGAUUUAUCGGCUGCGGAUGGCCAUGCGGCGCAUUAGCUAGUCGGCGGGGUAACGGCCCACCGAGGCGACGAUGCGUAGGGGUUCUGAGAGGAACGGUCCCCCACACUGGUACUGAGACACGGACCAGACUCCUACGGAAGGCAGCAG